rnacentral:sRNA from 1 species
AGGAGUUCUGGGCUAUAGUGCGCUAUGCCGAUCGGGUGUCCACACUGAGUUCGGCAUCAAUAUGGUGACCUCCCGGGAGCGGGGGACCACCAGGUUGCCUAAGGAGGGGUGAACCGGCCCAGGUCCGAAACGGAGUAGGUCAUUCCCAAUGUUUAUAACUCAGGCGAUUUCACGUACAAACCCAGGGGUCCUGCUU